rnacentral:rRNA from 1 species
AUUGGGUGGGGGGGGGGUGGGGGGUUUUUUUUUAGGUUUUUUCAUACUCUGAACAGGCGCGGCGGCCUAAUACAUCAAGUCGAGCGAAGACGAGAAGCUGCUUUAUGAUUAGCGGCGACGGGUGAGUAACACGGGGCAACCUGCCCUACAGAUCCGGUAACUCAGGAAACAUGGGAUAAUACAGGAUAAUCCUUCGAAUCACAUGUUUGAAGUGAAUGGUCUUUAGGCGUCACUCAGGAGGGGCCCGCGUUGCAUUAGUUAGUUGGUGGGGUAACGGCGUACCAAGGCAACGAUGUAUAUCGGACCUGAGAGGGUGAUCGGCCACACUGGGAGUGAGACACGGCCCAAAGUCUUACGGGAGGCACCACUAGGGAAUUUUCCACACUGGGGGAAAGUCUGAUGUAGCAACGCCGCGUGAGUGAGGAAGGUUUUUGGAUGGUAAAACUCUGUUGUAAGGGAAGAAAAAGUACGUUAGGAAAUGAACGUACCUUGACGGUACCUUAUUAGAAAGCCACGGCUAAAUACGUGCCAGCAGCCGCGGUAAUACGUAGGUGGCGAGCGUUGUCCUGAUUUAUUGGGCGUAAAGCGCGCGCACGUGGUUUUUUAAGUGUGAUGUGAAAGCUCCCGGCUCAACCCUGGAGGGUCAUUGGAAACUGGGGAACUUGAGUGCAGAAGAGGAUAGUGGAAUUCCAAGUGUAGCGCUGAAAUGUGUAGAGAUUUGGAGGAACACCAGUGGCGAAGGGGACUGUCUGGUCUGUAACUGACACUGAGGCGCGAAAGCGUGGGGAGCGAACACGAUUAGAUACCCUGGUAGUCCACGCCGUAAACGAUGAGUGCUAAGUGUUAGGGGGUUCCGCCCCUUAGUGAUGCAGCUAACGCAGUAAGCAUCCGCCUGGAGUACGCAAG